rnacentral:lncRNA from 1 species
CUCGGAGAUGUCAUCUGACAAACAGUGCUUCUGCCUAAUCCAGUCCUAUAGUGGGUCAGAAUCCAUUUAAAGGGAUGGAAGAUUGAUGUCCAUGGCAUCCUCUGAACCUAAGAUCCUAAGACAUGUCACCCAUAAUCUGGUCACACCAUCCAAAAGAAACCCUGAAGGCACAGGAACAUGAAAUGUUCAAACAUACUUUGAAGACAAAGCAUAUUUUCUUCUUGUUGUCUUCUCUACUCUGUGUUAAUCAUUUGG